UUUUUUUUUCUGUUUUUUGUAGGAAAAAAAAAACUUGAAAAGAUGAGUGUUCAUAAGUUGGACCGACGGAGCAAAGUGCAUCGCAGAGGACAAAACCAUGGGCGAAUCUGCUUUUAGGUGCCUUCUUUCGACAAAGGCCAACCAUCGGGCCAUGUAAUACAAAGAAGGCAGCGUCACAUGAUUUCAGAUCACAGGCUGUACGUUAAGCAUCCACCAAAAGCAGCCCUCACUUCCACAAAAUGAUAUUUCCUUCAUUUCAAUUUAAACUAAAACGACGACAAGAAUUACAAAAUGGAGGCACUAAUAACAAUAAUAACAAAAGACGAAGCAAACAAGCAAAAAUACCAUCCUGCAUCCUGGCUCAAAUGCUUCUGGUGUGAGCUGUAAAAUCAAAAAACUAGAAAAGAGAUACAAAAAGUUUUGAAUCUUUUUGUGGCAUACUUUGAAAAAUGUUUGUUGUGCAUACAAAAUUUCAUCACGAAAUCACAUUUGUGAAAGUUGUGGCAAAAAGAAAAAACAAAGCUCCAAAAUGCAUUUGAAAGUAACAUUUCCAGAGCAUUGAUUUUGUUUUUUCUUACCAAGCCUUCUGCCAAUGUGAUUUCGUGAUGAAUUUUGCAUACAUUACAAACGUUCCUUAAAUUUUACCACAAAAAAUUCAGAAUUUUAAAAUUUAAUUUCUAUUUUUUGAAUCUACUGUUCACAUGGGAAUGGGAGACAAGUUGCUUGUCCUCGGGACAGAAACAUGACUGCCAGUAAUACUCCCGAGGCGGACAUUGUGUAACCGCGUCGUGAGACCAAUCUAGGACCAGGGAGAAGAUUUUGAUUUUGCCAAGGAGGGAGCAUAUGACCAAACUUGCAUUAGAGUACAUACAGGAAAAGGCGGCAGGACGAGAUACACAUUAUUCCCUGACUUCAACACAGGACAGUAUCCAAAAUGCACCAACUCAAAAUCAUUCCUAGGCAAUGAAAGGCAUGCCCUCUCAGGUACAACCAACGAAUUGAUUCGAGUUAUGAUACAACAGAGACAACACGCGGACAAGAAGACAACAGGCUGGGCCAACGCUUCCAUCCAUCCAUGUACAAGAGAGCAGAUGUCGGCGCGCAGCUGACGGGGUCGACAACACCA
rnacentral:lncRNA from 1 species